rnacentral:snRNA from 1 species
AUCGCUUCUCGGCCUUUUGCUACGAUCAAGUGUAGUAUCUGUUCUUAUCAGUCCCUAGCCAUAUAUUAACCACUUGGCUGCUAUGGACGCGCUCAGCGCGUCCAGCCAAGUGGUUCUCCUGUGCUACGGACGCGCUCAGCGCGUCCGAGCACAGGAGGCAGCAAUCCGCCGGAUUCCGGCGGAUUGCUGCGCCCCAC